rnacentral:lncRNA from 1 species
GGUGAUUUGCUCGAAUGGCCAAAUGAAUUCUUAACCUCAGGGCAUUGAUUUACGAGCUCUCUUUCUCUCUCCUCUUGAUUUUCUGAUGCGACAAAAAACCUUAACAUUCACUUCCCAUCACUUUCUCUCUCUACAACUAUAUACAUUAGAGAGUGAAUAACAAGCAAUUUCUCUUUAAAAUUGAGCCAAGUCAAGCUCGACUAUGGCGGUUUAGGAUCACCCCUUUUAGCACCAUAAUGCGUGUGCGGGAAGACGAAAAGGUACAGUUGCACGUACAUUUUGUGGAAUUAGAGUGAGAAAAAGAGAAAAAAUUAACUUUGAAGUUACAAAAGUUGAGAAAUAUAGGAAGCAAGCGCACAUGAAAUUUGGGAAACAAAAUUCAAAGUCCAGUUUCUCUCUCCUCUCUCCCAACUUCACGAGUUUCGUAAUUUUGUUUCUUCAAUUCGUUACUUUACAUCUCAAAAUUGACCUGAAAGCCUAGAGUUCCAUACAUAAGUUUUGAUAGAGCUGAAAUCUCAGUAAAAAUGUUCAAUUUUCUUUUUUGGUUUUUCAAUUUUUUAAAAGGAACUGCUGCUAGCUAGUAAUGUACUAAUGUUGUUGAUAUAUUCUUAGUUUGAAAUCAUAUUUUAAAAUUUUGUUGAUUUUUGAAUUUAGAAGCUGAUCUGCCAUUUUUAUGUUCUCCAAACAGCUGAACCACUCAGAUCCAGCAGCUAUGGAUGUGUAUUUUGUCGUCUAAUUGCAUCGUCAGAAAAGAGGUAAAAAAAUACUCUUCAUUAUGAUAAUCUCUCUCCCUCUUACAUUUAUAUUGAGAAGUAGUGUUUUUAUUUUCUUUGGGUUUUUUUGUGUGGUUGAUGAUCAAUUUUUAAGCUUAGUGAUACGGAUCACUGUUUGCAAAUUGUAGGUUCAGCGUAGAUUUAAAUACAAAGCUCGAAAACACGACGCAGAUAGAUAGAUCCGCGACUGAGUCAGUAAGCAACUAUUGCUUCGAUGCUGUUCUCGUCAAGCCCAAGCUUUAAUCUGAACCAGAAUUAAAGGUUAAGAGAGAUUUUGUAGCUCAGGUUAAAGGUCUUAACAAUAUGCAACAGUUGUAGCUAUAUAGUUGAUUUCAGUGGUAAUAAUUAAUAAUGCUUGUUGGAGUGUAAAAGCAGUGUACGUCUCUCAGAAUCUGAUGCCUACUUUCUUUGAAAUUUUUGGCUUUUUACUCGUUUCACAGGAAGAGAGAGAAAGAAAGUCUGAGCAAAAUCACAGGCUUUGCUUUUGAAAUCACUGCAAAAAGAUUAAGAGGGAGCUUCCCUCUGACAUUAUCGUCCUGCCAUUGAACGUGAUAUAUCGAAGCUUAAAAAUAAGCAGACUGUAUAUAUAUAUACCUCUAUAUAUAUGAAUGCAAAGCCAAUAGUAGUCCCAAUAACGGUCAUCAAUGCAAAAGGACAUCCACUGUAUAGUCUCUCGUGUCUGUACACCCACAGUUUCUCUCUCUAAACCCUAAUUCACAUUCCA